GUUAACCGUCGAGUUUGCCUGACGGCAAACGUCGUGAUUGUAUGCACUUUUUCAGGCUUUGCCUUGCAAAAGUGCGGAAAUUCGACAGUCCUCAAAAUCCGAUGAUUUUUGCGGCUGUCGAAUUUAUAA
rfam:Treponema pedis str. T A4, complete genome.